rnacentral:rRNA from 1 species
GAUGAACGCUGGCGGCGUGCCUAAUACAUGCAAGUCGAGCGAACAGACGAGGAGCUUGCUCCUCUGACGUUAGCGGCGGACGGGUGAGUAACACGUGGAUAACCUACCUAUAAGACUGGGAUCACUUCGGGAAACCGGAGCUAAUACCGGAUAACAUGUUGAACCGCAUGGUUCAACAGUGAAAGACGGUCUUGCUGUCACUUAUAGAUGGAUCCGCGCCGCAUUAGCUAGUUGGUAAGGUAACGGCUUACCAAGGCAACGAUGCGUAGCCGACCUGAGAGGGUGAUCGGCCACACUGGAACUGAGACACGGUCCAGACUCCUACGGGAGGCAGCAGUAGGGAAUCUUCCGCAAUGGGCGAAAUCCUGACGGAGCAACGCCGCGUGAGUGAAGAAGGUCUUCGGAUCGUAAAACUCUGUUAUUAGGGAAGAACAAAUGUGUAAGUAACUAUGCACGUCUUGACGGUACCUAAUCAGAAAGCCACGGCUAACUACGUG